rnacentral:sRNA from 18 species
GAGAAAAAUCGGUAGGUGAGGCUAACAUAAGGAUAAGGAUUGCUGCCGCGAAAAGAUGGAGACAUUUUUAGCAGGUCUGAACAGUCUGGGUCGAAUAAGGCUCAGAAUAAUGCAAUUUCAUUGCCUUAUGAAGUUAAAACUUGAACGAUGAUUACAUUU